rnacentral:rRNA from 1 species
GACGAACGCUGGCGGUCUGCUUAACACAUGCAAGUCGAACGGAAGUAGCAAUACUUUAGUGGCGGACGGGUGAGUAACACGUAAGAAUCUGCCUCCAGGACGGGAAAAACAGUUGGAAACGACUGCUAAUUCCCGAUCAGCCGAAAGGUAAAAAGAGUAUCGCCUGGAGAUGAGCUUGCGGCUGAUUAGCUAGUUGGUAGUGUAAGGGACUACCAAGGCGACGAUCAGUAGCUGGUCUGAGAGGAUGAGCAGCCACACUGGGACUGAGACACGGCCCAGACUCCUACGGGAGGCAGCAGUGGGGAAUUUUCCGCAAUGGGCGCAAGCCUGACGGAGCAAGACCGCGUGGGGGAGGAAGGUUCUUGGAUUGUCAACCCCUUUUCUCAGGGAAGAAGCAAGUGACGGUACCUGAGGAAUCAGCAUCGGCUAACUCUGUGCCAGCCGCCGCAGUAAUAC